rnacentral:snoRNA from 1 species
UGCGAAUGAUGAUCUUUCACAACUUUUGCUCGAAAUCCACCAUGUGAGCAAAAUGAGCUUUUUAACUCUGACGCCA